rfam:Trichobilharzia regenti genome assembly, scaffold: TRE_scaffold0022370
GUAGGUUAUGGUGAUAUGCGACCAGUUACAAUGGUGGGUAAACUUGUUGGUUCACUUUGUGCCAUAGCUGGUGUAUUGACUAUAGCUCUUCCAGUACCUGUGAUUGUUUCAAAC